rnacentral:rRNA from 1 species
UCGCAUCGGGACGGGCCCGCGGCCCAUUAGCUUGUUGGUGGGGUAACGGCCUACCAAGGCGACGAUGGGUAGCUGGUCUGAGAGGACGAUCAGCCACACUGGGACUGAGACACGGCCCAG